AGGUACCAGGAAACUUAUGGUGUCUCUCUCGUACUCAUCCACUGGGUAUUCCAUACAGAUCAGGGGAGGUGAUGAACUCAGUGGAGUUGGGCACAAGAAGGAGGAUACCAUUUGGUGCCCAUUUAGUUGCUGUGCCUGUUAUGGCUUAGGAAUUACAAAAGCUGAUGAAAUACAGGAUGAAGGGAGUGCUACUGUAAUCUGGUGUAGCGGAAGGAAUGGCCACCUAGUUUCGCUUUCCAACUACAAACACCAUGGGGAUCUUGUGGUUUAAGCUAUUUGGACAGAUACAGCUGU